GUCAGGUAAAAGAAUCAAUAAAUCUGAAUCGUGACAUUUCAUAAACUAUGGACUAUAACUGCUCAUGCUCUCAUGAUUCUUGCUUUUCAGGUGUCAAACACCAAAUCUGCUCUUGAUUAAUGCUUGAUUGAAGCUGAUUCUGUGGUAAUUCGACAUGGUGCUUCGGCCUUGUAAACAGGAAGGAAGCAGCUGAAUUAUAUCGACUCUGUCAUGUUCUUUCUGAAAUACUGAAUGGAAGUGCUGUCUUUAUCAGCAAGGCAGUCA
rnacentral:lncRNA from 1 species